rnacentral:rRNA from 1 species
UACAGAGGGGGCAAGCGUUGUCCGGAAUUACUGGGCGUACAGCGCGCGCAGGCGGUUGCCGACGUGCCGUGUGACAAGCGGGGGCUCAACCCCCGAGGGCCACGGUAAACGGGGCGACUGGAGGGAGGGAGAGGGAUGUGGAAUGCCCGGUGGAGCGGUGAAAUGCGUAGAUAUCUGGAGGAACACCGGUGGCGAAGGCGGCGUCCUGGACCAACACUGACACUGAUGAGCGAAAGCCAGGGGAGCAAACGGG